AGUGAACGCUGGCGGUAGGCCUAACACAUGCAAGUCGAACGGCAGCACAGUAAGAGCUUGCUCUUACGGGUGGCGAGUGGCGGACGGGUGAGGAAUACAUCGGAAUCUACUUUUUCGUGGGGGAUAACGUAGGGAAACUUACGCUAAUACCGCAUACGACCUACGGGUGAAAGCAGGGGAUCUUCGGACUUUGCGCGAUUGAAUGAGCCGAUGUCGGAUUAGCUAGUUGGCGGGGUAAAGGCCCACCAAGGCGACGAUCCGUAGCUGGUCUGAGAGGAUGAUCAGCCACACUGGAACUGAGACACGGUCCAGACUCCUACGGGAGGCAGCAGUGGGGAAUAUUGGACAAUGGGCGCAAGCCUGAUCCAGCCAUACCGCGUGGGUGAAGAAGGCCUUCGGGUUGUAAAGCCCUUUUGUUGGGAAAGAAAAGCAGCAUGUUAAUACCCCGCUGUUCUGACGGUACCCAAAGAAUAAGCACCGGCUAACUUCGUG
rnacentral:rRNA from 1 species